GUAUAUUUAUUGUGGCACCGUGUGUGAGGGGGAUAAUUCCUUACUCGCACACACCAAGAACAGACGUGGUUACAUAUUUAAAGACAUAACAUAGACAUAUUUGUUACAUUCCAAAAAAAUGGGCUGGAAUUUUGAGAAAUUACUGACAUGUUGUACCACCUUCUUAAGCACGCGUCCUAAAGAUGUGGUGGGGGUCUCUGAUGGUUGUUGGAUGAAGGCUAAGUCUUUUUUGCUGUGAACAUUCAUCCUUUUCAGGGGGUUGCAUUGUGUCGCAACAGCAACUCUGCCUCGAUAUGUUCAUGGGACCCCCCAUGAAGACCCGGUGCAGGACUGCAUCCGCCUGAUGAGCUGUCAUCGUCGUUGUCCCUCUCCAACUCUCUCCACCACAGUGGGGAUUUUGCAAAGCUGAAGGCUUUCCACUUGGUGCCUGUGGGAUUUUGGGCCAUCUGGAACAACAGCCUUGCUGACCUUGUUCCAGAGCCGAAUGGGGCAUUGAGAAAGGCCCGGUCAGCACAGCCACUUGGAGGCACGGUGCUCAGCAUCAGUGGACCUGCUCUGCUGUCUUUCUUGUGCUGGGGGCCCCAGAAGUGGAUGCAGUGCGGCAGGUGGAGUCUUGUGAGAGCAGAGUAGAGGAGCAGAAUCACUUCCCCUGACCUGCUAAUCACGUUUGUCUUAAUGCAGCACAGGAAACGCUUGGCCUUGGGGGCUGCAAGUGCACGGUGCCGGCUCAUGUUGAGCCUUUCAUCAGCCAACACCCGCAGGACACUUUCCUCUUCACAGUCCUCCAGCCACUCAUCCCCAAGCCUAUAGCGCUGCAUGGGCUUGUUGUGGCCAAAGUGCAGGACCCGCCACUUGGCCUUGUUGACCUCUCCAGUUAAUCAGGAGGGCUGGUAGAUGGCCGAGAGCGGCUUGGCAGUCACCUCUGCCAGCUCCCUCAGGAGUCUGUGGAGAGGCUCUUCCUGUCCCCCGUGCUGUGCGCUGUCUUCCUGCACUGCUGGCUCCUGACAUUUUUCACAUGGUGCUGCAUGAGGAUCGUCAUAAGUCUCUCCAUUAAGGUUAUGUAGGCGUCCAUCUGGCAGAGCAGGUCGAGAGCAUUUAGUUGUCCGUUUCC
ensembl:lncRNA